rnacentral:rRNA from 1 species
GAAUUCGCCCUUAGAGUUUGAUCCUGGCUCAGAACGAACGCUGGCGGCAGGCCUAACACAUGCAAGUCGAGCGCAGUCCUUCGGGACCGAGCGGCGGACGGGUUAGUAACGCGUGGGAACAUACCCUUUUCUACGGAAUAGCCUCGGGAAACUGAGAGUAAUACCGUAUAAGCCCUUCGGGGGAAAGAUUUAUCGGGAAAGGAUUGGCCCGCGUUAGAUUAGAUAGUUGGUGGGGUAAUGGCCUACCAAGUCUACGAUCUAUAGCUGGUUUUAGAGGAUGAUCAGCAACACUGGGACUGAGACGCGGCCCAGACUCCUACGGGAGGCAGCAGUGGGGAAUCUUAGACAAUGGGCGCAAGCCUGAUCUAGCCAUGCCGCGUGUGUGAUGAAGGCCUUAGGGUCGUAAAGCACUUUCGCCAGGGAUGAUAAUGACAGUACCUGGUAAAGAAACCCCGGCUAACUCCGUGCCAGCAGCCGCGGUAAUAAGGGCG